rnacentral:rRNA from 1 species
ACACGACUCCUUCCCGAAUUUGAUUUCUAGAAUUUAGAGUUUGAUCCUGGCUCAGAUUGAACGCUGGCGGCAGGCCUAACACAUGCAAGUCGAACGGUAACAGGAAGCAGCUUGCUGCUUCGCUGACGAGUGGCGGACGGGUGAGUAAUGUCUGGGAAACUGCCUGAUGGAGGGGGAUAACUACUGGAAACGGUAGCUAAUACCGCAUAACGUCGCAAGACCAAAGAGGGGGACCUUCGGGCCUCUUGCCAUCGGAUGUGCCCAGAUGGGAUUAGCUAGUAGGUGGGGUAACGGCUCACCUAGGCGACGAUCCCUAGCUGGUCUGAGAGGAUGACCAGCCACACUGGAACUGAGACACGGUCCAGACUCCUACGGGAGGCAGCAGUGGGGAAUAUUGCACAAUGGGCGCAAGCCUGAUGCAGCCAUGCCGCGUGUAUGAAGAAGGCCUUUCGGGUUGUAAAGUACUUUCAGCGCGGAGGAAGUGCGAAUAAAUGUCAAUAACCUGGUCGAAUUGAGCGGUUACCCGCAGAAGAAGGCACCGCCUAACUCCGUGCCAGCAGCCGCGGUAAAUACGGAGGGGUGCAAGCGUUAAUCCGAAAUACUGGGCGUAAAGCGCACCGCAAGGCGGUCUGUUCAAGUCGGAUGUGAAAUCCCCGGGGCUCAACCUGGGAACUGCAUUCGAAACUGGCAGGGCUAGAGUCUUGUAGAGGGGGGUAGAAUUCCAGGUGUAGCGGUGAAAUGCGUAGAGAUCUGGAGGAAUACCGGUGGCGAAGGCGGCCCCCUGGACAAAGACUGACGCUCAGGUGCGAAAGCGUGGGGAGCAAACCGGAUUAGAUACCCUGGUAGUCCACGCCGUAAACGAUGUCGACUUGGAGGUUGUGCCCUUGAGGCGUGGCUUCCGGAGCUAAACGCGUUAAGUCGACCGCCUGGGGAGUACGGCCGCAAGGGUUAAAACUCAAAUGAAUUGACGGGGGGCCCGCACAAGCGGGUGGAGCAUUGUGGUUUAAUUCGAUGCAACGCCGAAGAACCUUACCUACUCUUGACAUCCAGAGAGACUUAAGCAGAGAUGCUUUGGUGCCUUCGGAAGCUCUUGAAAACAGGUGCCCUGCAUGGGCCUGGUCGGUCAGCUCGUGUUUGUGAAAUGGUUGGGUUAAGUCCCGCACACGGAAGCGCCAACCCUUAUCCCUGUGGUUGGCCAGACGGGUCCGGCCGGGGAACUUCAGAAGGAGACUGCCAGUGAUAAACUGGAGGAAGGUGGGGAUGACGUCAAGUCAUCAUGGCCCUUACGAGUAGGGCUACACACGUGCUACAAUGGCGCAUACAAAGAGAAGCGACCUCGCGAGAGCAAGCGGACCUCAUAAAGUGCGUCGUAGUCCGGAUUGGAGUCUGCAACUCGACUCCAUGAAGUCGGAAUCGCUAGUAAUCGUGGAUCAGAAUGCCACGGUGAAUACGUUCCCGGGCCUUGUACACACCGCCCGUCACACCAUGGGAGUGGGUUGCAAAAGAAGUAGGUAGCUUAACCUUCGGGAGGGCGCUUACCACUUUGUGAUUCAUGACUGGGGUGAAGUCGUAACAAGGUAGCCGUAA